UGAUCCAGCCAUGCCGCGUGAGUGAUGAAGGCCCUAGGGUCGUAAAGCUCUUUCGCCAGGGAUGAUAAUGACAGUACCUGGUAAAGAAACCCCGGCUAACUCCGUGCCAGCAGCCGCGGUAAUACGGAGGGGGUUAGCGUUGUUCGGAAUUACUGGGCGUAAAGCGCGCGUAGGCUGACUAUUAAGUCAGAGGUGAAAUCCCGGGGCUCAACCCUGGAACUGCCUUUGAUACUGGUAGUCUUGAGUUCGAGAGAGGUGUGUGGAAUUCCGAGUGUAGAGGUGAAAUUCGUAGAUAUUCGGAGGAACACCAGUGGCGAAGGCGGCUCACUGGCUCGAUACUGACGCUGAGGUGCGAAAGUGUGGGGAGCAAACAGGAUUAGAUACCCUGGUAGUCCACACCGUAAACGAUGAAUGCCAGUCGUCGGGUAGCAUGCUAUUCGGUGACACACCUAACGGAUUAAGCAUUCCGCCUGGGGA
rnacentral:rRNA from 1 species